GGUCAUGAGCAUCAGCGUCAAGCCCCGGCUCGCUGAUCGGCAACCCUCCAACCGCGGUGGGGUGCUCCGGGUGAUGACCGGGUUGUGGGUUCGUGCAGAACCCCGGCAAGCGCGGGUC
rnacentral:ncRNA from 2 species